AGCCUUCUGUAUCCGUCCCGAGAUUUUGUCGAACACCAGAUCAUCAGGACUGAAGAGACUCCCAAUAUAAGUAGAGUG
rnacentral:pre_miRNA from 1 species